rnacentral:rRNA from 1 species
CCCAAAGGCAUCUAGCUCGGGACCACCAUCACGCUCCCGGCUCGUUGAUCUACGACGCCGCCGUUCCCUGCUUCUGCUCCGUUCCCGCCUCCCACGACGCCUGUCGUCUCGAUCUCUACUCGAACUCCUCUCUCUCCGCCCACGUCUGUCGCCCCCC